rnacentral:rRNA from 1 species
UACGUAGGGGGCUAGCGUUGUCCGGAAUCAUUGGGCGUAAAGUGCGUGUAGGCGGUCCGGUAAGUCCGCUGUGAAAGUCGGGGGCUCAACCCUCGAAUGCCGGUGGAUACUGUCGGGCUCGAGUGCGGGAGAGGCGAGUGGAAUUCCUGGUGUAGCGGUGAAAUGCGCAGAUAUCAGGAGGAACACCAAUUGCGAAGGCAGCUCGCUGGAACGUUACUGACGCUGAGACGCGAAAGCGUGGGGAGCAAACAGG